CCUACGGGAGACAGCAGUGAGGAAUAUUGGUCAAUGGGCGCGAGCCUGAACCAGCCAAGUAGCGUGAAGGAUGACUGCCCUACGGGUUGUAAACUUCUUUUAUAAAGGAAUAAAGUGAGGCACGUGUGCCUUUUUGUAUGUACCUUAUGAAUAAGGAUCGGCUAACUCCGUGCCACCAGCCGCGGUAAUACGGAGGAUCCGAGCGUUAUCCGGAUUUAUUGGGUUUAAAGGGUGCGUAGGCGGCCUUUUAAGUCAGCGGUGAAAGUCUGUGGCUCAACCAUAGAAUUGCCGUUGAAACUGGGGGGCUUGAGUAUGUUUGAGGCAGGCGGAAUGCGUGGUGUAGCGGUGAAAUGCUUAGAUAUCACGCAGAACCCCGAUUGCGAAGGCAGCCUGCCAAGCCAUGACUGACGCUGAUGCACGAAAGCGUGGGGAUCAAACAGGAUUAGAUACCCGUGUAGUC
rnacentral:rRNA from 1 species